rnacentral:lncRNA from 1 species
CAUAGCUAAAAUGCAAUGAGUUGGUUGUCUCUCUUCUAGUUUUUUUUUUCACUUCGUGGCGAACAACAAUUAGCUGGUUAUAAAAUAAAAGCAAAAAAUGCAUGUGCUGUAAACAGUAAACACAACUUUUUAGCGCAUAAGCAUCAUAGAUCAUACGUUUACGUUUACAUUUGUUGUGGAAUCUGUGGCUCUCUGCAGGUUAUGACAUCAUCCUGGGCACCUGAUCUUCAGGAACAUAUUCAGCAGAAAAGACUCCUGAGUUUUAUAAACCACUCUGUGGACUUCAUGCGAUCCUACAUUCCUUUUGUAUCCAGUCCAAGUUCUAAGGUUGCAGAUGUCGAU